UGUGGGAGCGAGCCUGCUCGCGAUGACGGCGGCACAUUCAGCGUCACUGCAAGCUGAUCCACCGCUAUCGCGAGCAGGCUCGCUCCCACA
rnacentral:misc_RNA from 1 species